rnacentral:rRNA from 1 species
GUGGGGAAUUUUGGACAAUGGGCGCAAGCCUGACCCAGCCAUGCCGCGUGCAGGAAGACGGCCCUCUGGGUUGUAAACUGCUUUUAUCUGGGAAGAAAAAGGCCAUGCGUGGCAAAUUGCCGGUACCAGAUGAAUAAGCACCGACUAACUCCGUGCCAGCAGCCGCGGUAAUACGGAGGGUGCGAGCGUUGUCCGGAUUUAUUGGGUUUAAAGGGUGCGUAGGCGGCUGAUUAAGUCAGCGGUGAAAGACUUCGGCUUAACCGGAGCAGUGCCGUUGAUACUGGUUGGCUUGAGUGUCGGAGGGGUACAUGGAAUUGAUGGUGUAGCGGUGAAAUGCAUAGAUACCAUCAGGAACACCGAUAGCGAAGGCAUUGUACUGGCCGACAACUGACGCUGAUGCACGAAAGUGUGGGGAUCGAACAGGAUUAGAUACCCUAGUAGUCC